rnacentral:lncRNA from 1 species
CGACAGUUUAAUUACAAUUUUUUCAUUCACGAUUUAACCUGUUCUGUUGCUUUUAAAUGUACUGAUAAGUCUUUAAAAGAAAUUAAAACUAAAUUGAAAUGAAUAUUCAGGUAUAGUAAUCAAGAAGAACAGACACCACCAGUGGCGGAUCCAGGGGGGGGGCACAUAUGAUAAACAUUCAAAACAGAAUAAUAGUCAGGAAGGAUAUCUCCUAAUCUGUAUUUAUCUACUACAAUACAUGAUCACAUGUACCAUACACACAUUACAAAUGAUGAUGAUGCACAUAGACAUUGCAAAUGAUUUGUUUGCCGCGUGCACAGCUAAGAAUCAGUAAAUGCCAAUUUUAAAGUCUUUUGUUGAACCCGGUCAGGGUUCGAACCCACGAACUCGGUCAUUCGUUGUGAACACGCAACAAGACCACCGAGAUGGUUCGUUUUGUAACACAGUAUACUUGUGGUCUAUUCACAUUUCCUACGACAAUAUAUUUGUGUUUUGUUCACAUUUUCUAAGACUAAAUACUUGUGUUCUGUUUCGGAGUCGUACAAAGCUAUUUGUUUUUAGAUAUGGUAGGAUUGUCAAUGGAACAACUCUGCAACAUAGACUAAUGACACCGUAUACACGUUCUUCAACAAUGAACAAAACCCAUACCACAUAGAAAGCUUUAAAAAGGCCCGGAAUGACAUUGGUAAAUAAUGCAAACGAGAAACUUAUAUGCUUGUGUUUGUACAAUAUAAUUAUAGAUUUCAAAGGAAUAGAAAUACUUUUGCUUUGUUCAUUUUUCGCC